rnacentral:rRNA from 1 species
GAUGAGCGCUGGCGGCGUGCCUAAUACAUGCAAGUCGAGCGAACAGACGAGGAGCUUGCUCCUCUGACGUUAGCGGCGGACGGGUGAGUAACACGUGGAUGACCUACCUAUAAGACUGGGAUAACUUCGGGAAACCGGAGCUAAUACCGGAUAAUAUAUUGAACCGCAUGGUUCAAUAGUGAAAGACGGUUUUGCUGUCACUUAUAGAUGGAUCCGCGCCGCAUUAGCUAGUUGGUAAGGUAACGGCUUACCAAGGCAACGAUGCGUAGCCGACCUGAGAGGGUGAUCGGCCACACUGGAACUGAGACACGGUCCAGACUCCUACGGGAGGCAGCAGUAGGGAAUCUUCCGCAAUGGGCGAAAGCCUGACGGAGCAACGCCGCGUGAGUGAUGAAGGUCUUCGGAUCGUAAAACUCUGUUAUUAGGGAAGAACAAAUGUGUAAGUAACUAUGCACGUCUUGACGGUACCUAAUCAGAAAGCCACGGCUAACUACGUG